rnacentral:rRNA from 1 species
UACGAAGGGGGCUAGCGUUGUUCGGAAUUAUUGGGCGUAAAGAGCUCGUAGGCGGUUUGUCGCGUCUGCUGUGAAAUCCCGAGGCUCAACCUCGGGCUUGCAGUGGGUACGGGCAGACUAGAGUGCGGUAGGGGAGAUUGGAAUUCCUGGUGUAGCGGUGGAAUGCGCAGAUAUCAGGAAGAACACCCGUGGCGAAGGCGGCUCUCUGGGACGGUACUGACGCUGAGACGCGAAAGCGUGGGGAGCGAACAGG